rnacentral:lncRNA from 1 species
GUUGAUGCAUCACUUCCCAAACAAAUAGUCAAUAAAUCUAAUUUGAUUGAAAAUAAUCACAAUAAUAAUACUGAAUCUGGAGUAUUAUGGAGAUAUAAUAGAAUUAAAAGAUUAGUCAUUUCAUAUGAUUAUAUUAUUUGCCUACAAGAAUAUGAUUAUAAUAUUAGGAUGAAAGAUGAUCCAAUCUCAUUUAAGGAUGUUAUGAAUAG